AGCUUGCUCCUCUGACGUUAGCGGCGGACGGGUGAGUAACACGUGGAUAACCUACCUAUAAGACUGGGAUAACUUCGGGAAACCGGAGCUAAUACCGGAUAAUAUAUUGAACCGCAUGGUUCAAUAGUGAAAGACGGUUUUGCUGUCACUUAUAGAUGGAUCCGCGCCGCAUUAGCUAGUUGGUAAGGUAACGGCUUACCAAGGCAACGAUGCGUAGCCGACCUGAGAGGGUGAUCGGCCACACUGGAACUGAGACACGGUCCAGACUCCUACGGGAGGCAGCAGUAGGGAAUCUUCCGCAAUGGGCGAAAGCCUGACGGAGCAACGCCGCGUGAGUGAUGAAGGUCUUCGGAUCGUAAAACUCUGUUAUUAGGGAAGAACAAAUGUGUAAGUAACUAUGCACGUCUUGACGGUACCUAAUCAGAAAGCCACGGCUAACUACGUGCCAGCAGCCGCGGUAAUACGUAGGUGGCAAGCGUUAUCCGGAAUUAUUGGGCGUAAAGCGCGCGUAGGCGGUUUUUUAAGUCUGAUGUGAAAGCCCACGGCUCAACCGUGGAGGGUCAUUGGAAACUGGAAAACUUGAGUGCAGAAGAGGAAAGUGGAAUUCCAUGUGUAGCGGUGAAAUGCGCAGAGAUAUGGAGGAACACCAGUGGC
rnacentral:rRNA from 1 species